rnacentral:rRNA from 1 species
GAAUUUUGGACCAUGGGCGAAAGCCUGAUCCAGCAAUGCCGCGUGCAGGAUGAAGGCCUUCGGCUUGUAAACUGCUUCUGUACGGAACGAAAAGCUUUGGGUUAAUACCCUGGAGUCAUGACGGUACCGUAGGCAUAAGCACCGGCUAACUACGUGCCAGCAGCCGCGGCAAUACGUAGGGUGAAAGCGCUAAGCGGAAUUACUGGGCGUAAAGCGUGCGCAGGCGGUUUUGUAAGACAUGGGUGGAAUCCCCGGGCUCAACCUGGGAACUGCCUUUGUGACUGCAAGGCUAGAGUACGGCAGAGGGGGGUGGAAUUCCGCGUGUAGCAGUGAAAUGCGUAGAUAUGCGGAGGAACACCGAUGGCGAAGGCAACCCCCUGGGCCUGUACUGACGCUCAUGCACGAAAGCGUGGGGAGCAAACA